rnacentral:tRNA from 1 species
AAUAUUAUGCCAGAAAAAUUGGAUAACUUUGAUAAAGUUAAAUAUAGAAGUAUUCUUAAUAUUU